GAUGAACGCUGGCGGCGUGCCUAAUACAUGCAAGUCGAGCGAACAGACGAGGAGCUUGCUCCUCUGACGUUAGCGGCGGACGGGUGAGUAACACGUGGAGAACCUACCUAUAAGACUGGGAUAACUUCGGGAAACCGGAGCUAAUACCGGAUAAUAUAUUGAACCGCAUGGUUCAAUAGUGAAAGACGGUUUUGCUGUCACUUAUAGAUGGAUCCGCGCCGCAUUAGCUAGUUGGUAAGGUAACGGCUUACCAAGGCGACGAUGCGUAGCCGACCUGAGAGGGUGAUCGGCCACACUGGAACUGAGACACGGUCCAGACUCCUACGGGAGGCAGCAGUAGGGAAUCUUCCGCAAUGGGCGAAAGCCUGACGGAGCAACGCCGCGUGAGUGAUGAAGGUCUUCGGAUCGUAAAACUCUGUUAUUAGGGAAGAACAAAUGUGUAAGUAAAUAUGCACGUCUUGACGGUACCUAAUCAGAAAGCCACGGCUAACUACGUG
rnacentral:rRNA from 1 species